AUGUUUGGGGUGGAAUUCAUGAAAAAUCGGAUCCGUUCCGCCAGUGCAUGGAGCCUGAUCAUCACCUCGUUUCUUUGUGGCACACAUCCAUUGGAGCUGCUUUUUAGAAAUACAGGAUGGAGAUUCAGGUGCCCUCCUUCAGACCCUGUUUCCCCGGUAGUUACUUUGGUAGAAUCGGUGUUCUUUCCUACCUGCUCGUCUUUCAGGUGCCCUAAUGGUUUCUCUGUGCCUCUGGUUCUCUUUCAGUGGGUUGUCCUCUGGCCACACAGCAUCCCUUAUGAGAGCCUUGGGCUCCUGGGCUCGUUCACUCAGUACCUAGUGGACCAUCAUCACACCCUCCUGCACAACAGUGAGAGUAAUUGGGGCCAGUGCUGUGGCAUAGGAGGUAAAACCGCCACCUGCAGAGCCGGCAUUCCAUAUGGACACCAGUUCAAGUCCUGGCUGCUCCACUUCUGAUCCACCUCUCAACUAUGGCCUGGGAAAGCAGUGAGAUGGCCCAAGUGCUUGGGCCCCUGUACCCACAU
rnacentral:lncRNA from 1 species